rnacentral:tRNA from 1 species
GGAUAUAGUUCAACGGCAGAGCGACGGACUUUGAAUCCGUGUAUCUUGGUUCGAAUCCAGGUAUC